GUAUCUGCCUUUUGGUUCGGAAUAACACGGGGAAACUUGUGCUAAUACCGGAUAAGCCUUAACAGGGAAAGUUUUAACGCCAAAAGAUGAGCCCAUACUUGAUUAGCUAGUUGGUAAGGUAAUGGCUUACCAAGGCUACGAUCAAUAGCUGUUCUUAGAGGAAGAUCAGCCACAUUGGGACUGAGACACGGCCCAAACUCCUACGGGAGGCAGCAGUGGGGAAUCUUGCACAAUGGGGGAAACCCUGAUGCAGCGAUGCCGCGUGAGUGAAGAAGGCCUUUGGGUUGUAAAGCUCUUUCGUCGGGGAAGAAAAUGACUGUACCCGAAUAAGAAGGUCCGGCUAACUUCGUGCCAGCAGCCGCGGUAAUACGAAGGGACCUAGCGUAGUUCGGAAUUACUGGGCUUAAAGAGUUCGUAGGUGGUUAAAAAAGUUGGUGGUGAAAUCCCAAGGCUUAACCUUGGAACUGCCACCAAAACUUUUUAACUAGAGUAUGAUUGAGGUAAGCGGAAUUUCUAGUGUAGAGGUGAAAUUCGUAGAUAUUAGAAAGAACACCAAUUGCGAAGGCAGCUUUCUGGAUCAUUACUGACACUGAGGUGCGAAAGCAUGGGUAGCGAAGAGGAUUAGAUACCCUCGUAGUCCAUGCCGUAAACGAUGUGUGCUAGACGUUGGAAAUUUAGUUUUCAGUGUCGCAGCAAAAGCGUUAAGCACACCGCCUGGGGAGUACGACCGCAAGGUUAAAACUCAAAUGAAUUGACGGGGACCCGCACAAGUAGUGGAGCAUGUGGUUUAAUUCGAAGAUACGCGCAGAACCUUACCAACACUUGACAUGUUCGUCGCGACUCUAAGAGAUUAGAGUUUUCGGUUCGGCCGGACGAAACACAGGUGCUGCAUGGCUGUCGUCAGCUCGUGUCGUGAGAUGUUGGGUUAAGUCCCGCAACGAGCGCAACCCUUACUUUUAGUUGCCACCAUUUAGUUGAGCACUCUGAAAGAACUGCCAGUGAUAAGCUGGAGGAAGGUGGGGAUGACGUCAAGUCCUCAUGGCCCUUAUGUGUUGGGCUACACACGUGCUACAAUGGUAUUUACAGUGGGAUGCAAAGAGGCAACUCCAAGCCAACCCUCAAAGAAUACCUCAGUUCGGAUUGUACUCUGCAACUCGAGUACAUGAAGCUGGAA
rnacentral:rRNA from 1 species